rnacentral:rRNA from 1 species
GACGAACGCUGGCGGCGUGCUUAACACAUGCAAGUCGAACGAAGUGGCGAACGGGUGAGUAACGCGUAAUCAACCUGCCCUUCAGAGGGGGACAACAGUUGGAAACGACUGCUAAUACCGCAUACUGAAGGAGGGGAUUGCGUCUGAUUAGCUAGGUGGAGGGGUAACGGUCCACCAAGGCGAUGAUCAGUAGGCGGUUUGGGAGGAUGAACGGCCACAUUGGGACUGGGAAAAGGCCCAGACUCCCUCGGGAGGGCGCAGGUGGGAAUUUUCCGAAAUGGAGGAAAGUCUGACGGAGCAACGCCGCGGGAGUGAUGACGGCCUUCGGGUUGGAAAGCUCUGUUAAUCGGGACGCGGUACCGGAAUAGAAAGCCACGGCUAACUACGUGCCAGCAGCCGCGGUAAUAC